rnacentral:rRNA from 1 species
GGUGAACGCUGGCGGCGUGCCUAAGACAUGCAAGUCGAGCGGGGCAGGUUUAUACCUGUUCAGCGGCGGACGGGUGAGUAACGCGUGGGUGACCUACCCGGAAGAGGCGGACAACCUGGGGAAACCCAGGCUAAUCCGCCAUGUGGUCCUGUCCUGUGGGGCAGGACUAAAGGGUGGAUAGCCCGCUUCCGGAUGGGCCCGCGUCCCAUCAGCUAGUUGGUGGGGUAAAGGCCCACCAAGGCGACGACGGGUAGCCGGUCUGAGAGGAUGGCCGGCCACAGGGGCACUGGGACACGGGCCCCACUACUACGGGAGGCAGCAGGUAGGAAUCUGCCGCAAUGGACGGAAGUCUGACGGAGCGACGCCGCUGGGAGGAGGAAGCCCUUCGGGGUGUAAACUCCUGAACUGGGGACGAAAGCCCUGUGUAGGGGGAGGACGGUACCCAGGUAAUAGCGCCGGCCAACUCCGUG